UGAGUUUAGAGACCUUUUUGACACUCAUGACUGCGUCUGCCGCUCCCCCGCCCGCUAGCUAGUGGUAAUUUUCCCACCUAGCGGAGGUCUUCAGAAAUAUCUUCAGAAACGGUUGGUCUCCAGAUCGCUCUCCCGCCGUUCCCAUCUUAGGGCCUCUCCAGCCACCAAGGUCGGCAGCACCUUGUCAAUGGCUUCCCGCCAACUAUCCUCUGUGCGUGGCCGAGGUCCUGGUCGUGGCCGAGGUCGUGGUCGUUGUGGCCGAGGUCGU
rnacentral:lncRNA from 1 species